rnacentral:rRNA from 1 species
AUAUCAAUAAGCGGAGGAAAAGAAACCAACCGGGAUUGCCUCAGUAACGGCGAGUGAAGCGGCAAGAGCUCAAAUUUGAAAUCUGGCCCCUUUGGGGUCCGAGUUGUAAUUUGCAGAGGAUGCUUCGGGUGCGGUCCCCGUCUAAGUGCCCUGGAACGGGCCGUCAUAGAGGGUGAGAAUCCCGUCUGGGAUGGGCGGCCGCGCCCGUGUGAAGCUCCUUCGACGAGUCGAGUUGUUUGGGAAUGCAGCUCUAAGCGGGUGGUAAAUUUCAUCUAAAGCUAAAUACUGGCCGGAGACCGAUAGCGCACAAGUAGAGUGAUCGAAAGAUGAAAAGCACUUUGAAAAGAGAGUUAAACAGCACGUGAAAUUGUUGAAAGGGAAGCGUUGUCCACCAGACUCGCCCGGGGGGGUUCAGCCGGCACGUGUGCCGGUGUACUCCUCUCCGGGCGGGCCAGCAUCGGUUUGGGCGGCUGGUGAAAGGCCCCGGGAAUGUGCCACCCUUCGGGGUGCCUUAUAGCCCGGGGUGCCAUACAGCCAGCCUGGACCGAGGCCCGCGCUUCGGCGAGGAUGCUGGCGUAAUGGUGGUCAACGGC